rnacentral:sRNA from 1 species
GCCAGGCAUGGUGGUGCAUGCCUGUAAUCCCAGAGGCUCAGGAGGCCGAGGCAGGAGGAUCGCAAGUUUAAAGCAAGACUCAGCAACUUAACAAGGCACUAAGCAACUUAGUGAGACCCUUUCUCAA